GGUUCGUGGGGAUUAGAGGGCAUUAGAUUUAGUUGAUUAUAGUACUUAUUUUUUUCUCAUAAAACCUAAAAAUAUCACCUGUAAGAAAUGGUAAAACUUGACAGUGUUCUCAGUAUUAUUAGAGUUCCUAUUUCUUCUCUUUCCUACUUAUGUUAGCAGUAGGCUAUCCACCCUGACAUAUUUUAAAAGGAGACAACAAAGAGGCAGCCAGUGAAAGUCCCCUUUCCACAGCCAUCUUCAGGCUCAGUAGAAGUGGGAGAAUAAUAUUGGAAUUAGUAUUGUAGACUUACAAGCUUAUGAAGAUGAAAUGCACUGUUCCCACCCCACACUCCUGUCUCUGUCAGACUCACCUUCAGUUAUGUCUAUUGUAACCCAGACAAGCUCACCCGAGACCCAGAAAAAUUGGGAGCUAGUUCCACGCUGUAUUAAAUAUGACUCACAAAUACACAAUCCUUUUUCUUUUCCAAUGACUUUUAUCACAUAGGGGAUGUUACAUUAUGUAUAAAUAUAUUUUUUUAUUUAAAAAUUUUUUUUGUCUUUUUAUGGCUGCACCCGUGGCAUAUGGAAGUUCCCAGGCUAGGGGUCCAAUCAGACCUGUAGCCACCGGCCUAUAUCAGAGCCACAGCAAUGCCAGAUCCGAUCCACGUCUGUGACCUACACUACAGCUCACGGCAAUGCCAGAUCCUUAACCCACUGAGCAAGGCCAGGGAUUGAACCCACAAACUCAUGGUUUCUAGUUGGAUUCGUUUCCACUGUGCCACGAUGGGAACUCCUUUUAUUAUUAUUAUUUCUUAUUUUAUAAACAUUUGAUUGUUUGGUUUGAACGUUGUCUCAUCGUGAAUGUAAAAGCAGCUAUUCUCUGCUACAGACAAAAUUCCAGAUUUCAGCUCGACCCGCCUACCUCUGAGAAAGUGGUUCUGGGAAGAUGCUGUGAACAUGGCAGGUGUCUUGUUAGAGUCAACUGGAUAUUAAAUCUGAAGACUGUCAGAAGAUAUAUUUGGCCCAGGCUUCUGUGGAGGGUGUCACACAGGAACUACAGCUGUCUACAGGAAGCAUCAGCCAUUCUUCUUCAGCUGGAGUUUUUGCAGCUGUAUAGCUCUGGUGCAAGGAUAUGAGAAACCCACCAGACAGGGUAAGAACUGUCAUGGCUUAGAAACCUCAGACCUUACUACUGUACCAAUUAUUUCUUAUAAUGACUCAAUAGGAUUCCAGUCUCCAAAGGGCAAUCCAGUCCCAAGAGUUACCAUACUCAGGAAGACCCAUAGCUACCUGUCUGAUUGGGUAUUUAGAGCACAUUUCUAGUCUCUCCCAAUCCAGAUGCAGUUGACCAAACAAGGGUUAUCUUAAUCAUUAAGCAACGUUGCUUAGUGCUAUAGACUUAAUAUUUAUUUUCCCCUACCCCUAAUCCAUAUGUUAAAUCCGAACCCCCAAGGUGAUUAGAGUUAGGAGAUGAACCCUUUGGAAAGUGAUUAGGUCAUGAAGGCAGAGCCUCCAAACCCAAGGAAUUCAUGCUCUUAUAAAAAGAAGACUGAGAAAGUGUCUACCUCUUCCCUCAUAUGAGGUUACAAAAAAGAUGGUAGUUUAGGACUGAAUCCUUGCCCAAUACCAAGCCUUCCAGCGCCUGGAUCUUAGACUUUCCAGCCUUCAGGACUGUGAGAUAUAAGUUUCUAUGGUUUAUAAAUUCCGCAGUCCGUGGUAUCUUUCUUACAGCAGCUUGAAUAGACACACACUUACUAUUGUAGUUAACAUUCCAUCUGAGGAACAAUCAGGUGUUUAGGUGGUCAUUUUAAGACAGCAAGCCAGGAGUUCCUAUUGUAAUGGUAAUUGGUUCAUUCAAUGGUAAUGAACCAGACUAGUGUCCAUGAGGAUGCAGGUUUGAUCCUUUGCCCCUUUUAGUGGGUUAAGGAUCCAGUGUUGCUGUGAGCUGCUCUGUAGGUCAAAGAUGUGGCUUGGAUCCUGUGUUGCUGUGGCAGUGGUGUAGACCAGCAGUUGCAGCUCUGAUUCAACCUCUAGCCUAGGAACUUUCAUGAGCUCCAGAGGCAGCCCUAAAGAGAGAGAAAGAGAAAAAAAAGAGAGAGCAAGCCACUGUACAGCAGAAACUGACAAUACAGUGUAAAUCAACUAUACUUUAAAAAACAAACAGCAAGCCAAAUGAGCAUAGUAAUCCAAACUUUAUUUCAUAAAAGUGGCAGUAAUAGCUAAGAGAAAUAUGAGGUGCCUGCUUCCCAGGGCUGUAUGUUCCCCAUGGAGUUAGACUCCUUACCACCUUUAUCAGGUCUCCAAAAGAUAGAGCUAAAAUUUAACCAAAGGGCCAGUUUUCAUUGAGAAGGGCCUUUAAUCCUUCACCUGUACUCAUAGUGUUUUUUUAUAUUGAUCUGUUUUUUUUUUCCUGGUUAUUUUGUAUUUAUUUACUUACUUUAAAAAUUUUAAUUUUCUUCUGUUAUAGCUGAUUUUUGACCUCCUUUAUUAACCUUUUUUUUCGGUCCUUUUU
rnacentral:lncRNA from 1 species